GUUGAUGUCUCUCUCAAGGGAACUUCUGUAGCCAUACACUUUUGGAGAAACCUCACACAGAAAUUCUGUGGAUUUUCUUAACUCACGGGACUCUUUCCUAGGUCAAUGGGAAGAAACUAUAAGACAAUU
rnacentral:snoRNA from 1 species